rnacentral:rRNA from 1 species
ACGGGAGGCAGCAGUGAGGAAUAUUGGUCAAUGGGCGGAAGCCUGAACCAGCCAUGCCGCGUGAAGGAAUAAGGCCCUAUGGGUCGUAAACUUCUUUUGUGCGGGAGCAAUAAGGUCCACGAGUGGAUCGAUGAGAGUACCGUACGAAUAAGCAUCGGCUAACUCCGUGCCAGCAGCCGCGGUAAUACGGAGGAUGCAAGCGUUAUCCGGAUUUAUUGGGUUUAAAGGGUGCGUAGGCGGCUUUUCAAGUCAGAGGUGAAAUACCGGGGCCUAACUCCGGAACUGCCUUUGAUACUGAAGAGCUUGAAUACUGUUGCCGUGGGAGGAAUGAGUAGUGUAGCGGUGAAAUGCAUAGAUAUUACUCAGAACACCGAUUGCGAAGGCAUCUCACGAAUCCGUCAUUGACGCUGAGGCACGAAAGCGUGGGGAUCAAACAGGAUUAGAUACCCUGGUA